rnacentral:rRNA from 1 species
UACGUAGGGUGCAAGCGUUAAUCGGAAUUACUGGGCGUAAAGCGUGCGCAGGCGGUUUUGUAAGACUGUCGUGAAAUCCCCGGGCUCAACCUGGGAAUGGCGAUGGUGACUGCAAUGCUAGAGUUUGGCAGAGGGGGGUAGAAUUCCACGUGUAGCAGUGAAAUGCGUAGAUAUGUGGAGGAACACCGAUGGCGAAGGCAGCCCCCUGGGUCAAAACUGACGCUCAUGCACGAAAGCGUGGGGAGCAAACAGG